GAGCCUGUGAGGGAAGGUUCAGAGAAGGCUUGGAAAAGUUAUCUAGGAGCCAAGGCUGCAAGUGAGAGGGGGCGGGGCUGGGCGCAGUGAGAGGUCCUGGCGGGAAGUAAGCCCGGGCAGGGAGGAGCCCAGGGUCCUAAGGGUCACCUUCUGCAAAAAGAAAAUAUCGAGAUGGUGGCCUCAUGUUUGGGAAUUUGUCAGGCUCUGCAGAUAUGUCCUAGGUGCAAACUGGAGAUCGGUGGGGAACGCGGCAGGGAAGCUGGUCGCAUCUCUUCUCCUCAGUGGACUGCUUCAUUCAGCGGUUCCUGUGGACCCCUGGUGCCUUCAGAGGUCAGAAGAGGGCGUUGGACAGAGGCAUCAGAGCUUCUGGAGCUGGAGCUGUGAGCCACCCAUGUAGGCUUCUGGUCCUCAGAGAGAGCGGACUUCACCCUAGUAGAUGGUGACACGCUGCAUCAGGGAUGGCGUUCCUGUCUCAGCUAGCCUCAUCUAGGAAAUCCUUCACAGACUUGCCAGAGCUUUGUCUCCUACACCAUUCUACAUCCUGUCAAGUUGACAGUAUUAACCACCAGGCCAGAUCACGGUGUGAAUUGGGAAUUCGUUCCCCUUUUCACAGCUGAUUACUACUUUAUUGUUCGGAAAUAUUUAUUUAUCCUUCACGACUUCAUAAACAUUUGGAUUCUUUCCAGCUUUGUGUAACGUGAAUAAAAUUGCUACAGCUCUUCCUGUUUAAGUUUUUGUGUCACCUG